CAUGAUGAGCUGUCAUAGCUUGGAUUGUAUAGCAGGUAGUCGCAGUCGCCUACAUUAAAUAGUUUUUUAAUGAAAAAAGACUCAUUUUAAAUGAAUCUUUUUAAACGUUAGAAUUGUUAUGAUUUUAACGAACUGU
rnacentral:ncRNA from 1 species